UUGUUGUUUCAAGGUCAAUCUAUUCACUCGUCUAGAUAAAAUUUUUCAUUGUUCACUAAUAAAUCGACUAAUUAAACUCAUGUUUCUAUAAUCAAUUCGAUCCCCCGAUCCAAUUGGGGGCAAACGCCUACGAAAAGAUCGCUUAGAUUUAAGAAAGGGUCGCUUGGAUUUUUCCAUGGUUUAUUCCUUAUCUCUAAAAUCCUAUUUCUGAAUUCUAAUUCAAGUUUUUGUUUAUCCGACCGAAAUAGGAUAGGAUUUGUUAGAAUAUAUCUAU